AGAGAUUGUGCCACUUCACUCCAGCCUGGGUGACAGGGUGAGACUCUUCCUCAAAAAAAAUAGUUGAAUAGAUGAUUUAUGAUAUAGUCAUAUAAUAAAUAAAUACUAUACAACAAUGAGAAUAAUUGACCUACAGCUAAACACAAAAAUAUUGACCAAUCUUGCAUUUACUCAAUCUUAUAUUUACGCAAUCUACUAUUGAGUAAAGGGCACUGGAUACUAAAAAAUACAUAUUUUAUGAUUUCAUUUAUAUAAAGUACCAAAACAGGAUAGUAAUCUUCAUGAGCUUAGGAGGUGGUGGUAGUCUCUGCUUGGGAGCAUGACAAGGGCUUCAUGGCAACUGUUAUAUUCUGAAUUUUCUUUCAGUGCUGGCAUUCUGGAUAUGUUUCAUUUGUGCAAAUACAUAGAGCUAUAUAUUUAUGAUGCCCACUUUUCUACAUGUGUAUUUAUGCUCCAAAGUAGUUUACUUAAGUCAUCUAACAAUAUCUAGAAAUAAGUCUAACAAAAUAUGCAAGGACUAUACACCAUGAACUAUGCAGUAUUUCUGAGAGAAUUAAAAGGGCUAAUAAAUGGUAGGACAUGUCAUGAUUAGGGAUUGGAAGACUGAUUAUUUUAUGAAUCUCAUUUCUCCACAAAUUUAUCUAUAGAUUGAAUGUAAUUGCAAGACUCAUACAUAGAACGAGUUGAUUUAUAGAAACUAUAGUGAAAGGAUAAUCUUUUCAAUAAACGGUGUUAGUAUCAUGGGAUUCUUGGGUUAUCACUUCACCAGCUGGAAACCUCUGUGGCCAGUGGAUCCUUUGCCUGAGUUUUUCUUGGGCUCACUGGGCUUGUUUCACCCCUUCAGUCUGGCAGGCUGCGCUUGGCUUACGCUACCCUCCUGGAUCCCGUGCCUGCCAAGAGUGAGCUGAGUGGGGAGGGGUGUGUGAAUGAGUGAGCAUGGGGCCCAGCCACUGCUCAUAGCCAGGCAUGCUGGCUGUGGCAGGGUGGGCAGCUCCAGGCACUGGCAUGGGCGCUGGCUCCCUGCGAGGCUGAAACUGGACCAGGCGAACCAUAAGCAGCUUCCAUGGCUGGCACCAGGGAAUGCGGUGGUGCCCAGAAGCUUGGAAUCACCAGAAAGUGUGAAGCCCCAAAGAGGUUAUCACAGCCCUGGUUUGGGGAACUUCUAGGUCUGGGAUCCCCAAAGGGCCACAGCUCUUCUCUCCUUCUCUCUUCUCUCCUUCUCUCUUCUCUCCUUCUCUCUUCUCUCCUUCUCUCUUCUCUCCUUCUCUCCUUCUCUCUUCUCUCCUUCUUGUUGCCCACAACAUGGUGAGCAAGGGGGGUGUUUCAGCCUUGUUUGUGUUACAGCUCUUUCAGCUCUGCCAUUUGGCAAGUCCCUAGUUUUUGUCCUGUGUCCAGGAAGAAUGAGGUACCUAGACAAGUGGAGGGUGAGCAAGAUAAAGACGAGCUUUUUUGAGCAGUAGAACAGCUCAGAGGAAACCCACAGUGGGUAGCUUCUCUCCUCAACUGGGAUGUCCUGAUGAGUGUUCAGCUCUCAGCAGAGAGGAGACCCUGGAGUAGGUAGCUCCUAUCUGCAGCUGGUAGUCCCAAUGUCUGCUCAGCUCUCAGCAGAGAGGAGAACCCAGAGGGGGUAGCUCCUCUCCACAGGCAGGUCAUUCUGUCAUCUCCUCAAGUCUGGCUGAGCCCAGGGUUUUUAUGGGCUUCAGCGGGGAGGAAGUGUGUGCUGAUUGGUCCAUGGGUGGCCAUGGGUGGGCCUGGAAAAGGCAACAUAAGUUCCCACUCUAGUCUGCAGGACUGGCAGCCCAGCUCCCAGGCUUCAGGCCUUCCCUGGCUUGAAGGUGGGGCUUCACCAAGGGCCUACCUGUUUCCACCCUGGAGCCUGUCUGCCUCCUGCUGCUGCUUAUGUAACCCAGGCUUUUACUGCUGAGGGGUGCCUAUAAGCCAGCAUUGAGCUGCCCUCAGCCCGGCCUCAGCCUCCCUCUGGUGCUCGGUGGUGCACAAAGUCUAGACGGGGACAAGGCAGCAGGGGCUAGUGUGUCAGGGCUGCCCUAAGUGUGUGCACACCUGGCCAGGUUGCAAUAGUACCUAGUCUUGGCCUCAAUUUUGCUCCAGAUCAGAGCAGGCACAGGAACAGAGAGAGGCCAGGAAACAGGAGCAGGCAUUUCCAAGCCUGCUGGGACAAGAGGGACUUCCUGGGCCCCUGGGAGUGCAGAGAUGCCUGGGUGUGCAGCUGCAGCUUGGGUGGCUGCAGCUGCGGCUUGGGUGGCUGCAGCUGCAGCUUGGGUGGCUGCAGCUAUGCCUGGAGCUCAUGCCUGCUCCCACUCCUCAAGAGCACAGGGAUGUCCAGGCUUGGAGCCAUGGCUGGGCAGCUGCAGCUGCGCCCAGGGAGCAUGAGGCUCCUGCCCUGCCAACUCAGGAGCGGGCUGGCCUUCCACCUGUUUCUGGCUCCCUCCGGCUCCAUGGAGCAUGCAACCCUGGCCACACCUCCCCAGUGAAGCCAGUGUCAUGGCAGCAGCCACUCUAGAUGGGCCAUGGCUGCCAUCAUUAGGGCUUUACUAUACACAUGUUAAAAAGUAAUUAAACGUGGUUUCUACCCUCCUGACAUUAAAAACUGAUCAAUUCCAGAUGGAUUAUAGAUAUAGUUGUGGAAGACAAAACAAUCAAACUUUUAGAAAAAAGUCAAAGACAUUAUUUUCAGGUUUUCCAAGUUGGGAAAUGUGAUACAAAACUAUUCAGUUUAAAUAAAAAAUCAAUACCUUUAACUAUUAAAAUUGAGGACUGCUAUUUAUCCAAAGAUACAAUGAAGAGACUGAAAGGCAAAGAUUAAAAAAAGACUAAAGAUUUAAAAAAUUAAAUAUGUAUACACACAUGAAUGGAAUAUGUGAAAAAGUCUCCAAGUAAAGAAAAAAGGACAAUUCACUAGAAAUAGAAGAAAAGUCUUAAACAGUCUCAUCCCAAAGAAGAUAUCCUAAUGAACAGUGGACAUGAACAGGGGCUCAACUUCGUUAAUUAUCUCUCAUUCUCAAGGAAAAGCAAAUUAGACUGUGAAUAAAAUCUCCAUGUACCCACUAGGAUGACUACAAUUCAAAAGGCUGACCUAUCCAGGUGAAGAUGAGAGUGUGCAGCAUUGGAAAUUCUUACACAUUGCUGGAGAUUUAGAAGCUAAAGAAAGAGGACAAAUGAUUUGGAAGCAAAGAUAAGAAGGAAGAAGGACAGGAACCAGAAUCAACAUAACCUACGAGACUUUGAUUAGAAUCUAACAGGUACCUGAGUGCCUUUUGUAAGUAAAUGGCUCUAGUUGCUCAAUUGGCCACUGCUCUGCCACCAGGAUCCCUAGAAGAGACCAGAUAAACCUGAAGCACGUAGCUAAUCACUUCCAUGCCGUGAUGGAAUGCAGUGCUGUCUGCCAACAAGUUUGAGCCAGUCUUUCAAGAUGCAUCCUGAGUGGCUAACUGGGCCUGCAUUUCAAGUUGAGCCAAGGGACCAUUUGCUAACGAGGGGACACACACAUGUUCUGAGUUCACCCAAAACACAUACCUUAUUAUUUUGGGGCUUUUCAGCCCACCUGCCUCUGCUAAUCAGGGCUCAGCUGUAUUGACCCAUUAGAACUCAGCUGGGUUGACCAAUCAGAACUAAGUGAGUUUGGAGUUUUAAUUCUCAAUUGAAUGAACAGACCUGAUUGGGAACCUGCGUGGGAACUUUGGCUAUUAAACCUGAGCAUUCUUUCUGUUCUCUGGAAGAAAUAAUGUUUAAGUUGCUAACACUUUAUGCAUUUUCCUAAAAUUGAAUCAAACAACUCCUUUUGAAACAUAACCCUGAUAUCAGGGAAGUCGUACAACACCGUGCUAAAUAAUUUUAUACCUCUAACCAAGGUCUGUGCCCUAAUCAGCAGGAAGUGCCAGAGUGUCUGUCACCCAUUCUCCCUCAAGAUUGAGAAAUGAACAAUGAAAAAAGGGGGAUUUGAAAAUGCAGAACCAGCCCAAUGUGGUUCAAGUUUGUGUAAUAAAAUAAUGCGUUGUUUUACUGUUGCCACGGUCUCCUGGUUUCAAGUUAUGUUACCUGAGCAUGCCCAGACACACUCUGCAUGCAACCACGGUGGAACCUAAGUACUUGGACCAAGGAGCAGGGCUGAUUUAAGAAGGAGACACCUCAGGGCUUAAUCUGUGAUCUGAUCAGAUCCAGCCCUGACAUCACCUCAUGGCACGAUGCAGUCAGAUCUUACCUCAUUACCCUCUGUCUAUAAAACCUGCCCCAACCCCCAGAUCUGAGAGACAAAUUUUUAGAUAUGCUUUCCCCCAUCUCCUUCCUAGUUGAAUAAAAAUAAACCUUUCCCUCUACAAAACCCUUGUGCUUCCUUGUUUGGCUUUCCAUUGCAAUCAGGCAAACGGCCUGCAUUGCUUUAGGUAACUGACACUCCCAAGACUCAAGGAGCUGCCGCGCAGCACUAUUUUGAAAGCCCAGCCCCCAUCAGACUGUAUCUUGCUCUGGGGCCCAACAGCCCCAGCAUCUCCACUUCCCUGGAGCCCUGCGGACAUCUCUUCAUUUCCACCCAGAGGGCUGCAACUUUGUCCCGUGGGCUGAAUCCAGUGGUGCAGUAAGGAACAGGCAGUGCACCACACCAGGGAGACUGCCCCCAGGACAAAGGGAGCCCAAAUGCACACUCCUCAGUUUCUGAAAGCCACUUGCCCGGGGCCACUGCCACCGACAGCAACCCUCUCAACUUUCCACCCGAAGCAGGGCCACCAAGCAUCUGCAUGUGCCUCCCAUGGUCCUGGAGCUGGUCUGCCCAGACGCAGUUCUGUGUCCUGAGGACAGGCUCUCACACCACCCGUCACGCAAACAUGGUGCCCAGGGCCUGGGGAUCAUGCUGCCUCAACUGUAGCUGCGGGCGUGUGCCCACAACAUCAGGAAGUGUGACAGCAGGCCCAGGUCACCUGCCACUGGCACCCAAGCAUGCCAUCCAGGAGCUUGGUGAUUGUUCGGCCACACUCGCCAUAGCCUGCACCCUUGCACGCCAUUGGAGGGCCUAAGGACGGGAAAGCAACAUGCCUCCCUGGAGAGAGCUUGAUUCUGUUCUGGCAUAUGUUAGAGAAAAGUACUAAACCAAGUCAGAUGGUUUGGAAUGUGGUCUAAUUUUUUAUUUUUUUUUAGACGGAGUCUCGCUCUGUCGCCCAGGCUGGAGUACAGUGGCGCGA
rnacentral:lncRNA from 1 species